rnacentral:misc_RNA from 1 species
GCUUGGGGUUUUUUUGUGUUUUGUGUUGCUGGUAGAGGAAAACUCCGACGACUGUGACUGAGGUGGAAAAGGAGAAAACUACGCCGUGAAGAUGAGGUUGCUGCCGCUGUCGCUACUCAUCGGCAUUUUGCUUUAUUGUGCUUAUUGUGCCAUUGCCGACACAGAUCCAAAUGACGCUUCUGCUCUGAGAGUUCUGUAUAGCAGUCUAAAUUCUCCUGGACAGCUAACAAAAUGGAAUGCCAAUGGUGGUGAUCCUUGUGGAGAGUCCUGG